rnacentral:rRNA from 1 species
GAGUUUGAUCCUGGCUCAGAACGAACGCUGGCGGCAUGCCUAACACAUGCAAGUCGAACGUGAUCCGGGGCUUGCUCCGGUGAAAGUGGCGGACGGGUGAGUAACGCGUGGGAACCUGCCCAGUGGUCGGGGAUAACUGCGGGAAACUGCAGCUAAUACCCGGUAAGCCCCGAUGGGGGAAAGAUUUAUCGCCAUUGGAGGGGCCCGCGUCGGAUUAGGUAGUUGGUGGGGUAAUGGCCUACCAAGCCUACGAUCCGUAAGCUGGUCUGAGAGGAUGAUCAGCCACACUGGGACUGAGAUACGGCCCAGACUCCUACGGGAGGCAGCAGUGGGGAAUAUUGGACAAUGGGCGCAAGCCUGAUCCAGCAAUGCCGCGUGAGUGAAGAAGGGCCUUAGGGUUGUAAAGCUCUUUCGGCGGGACGAUGAUGACGGUACCCGCAGAGAAGCCCGGCUAACUCCGUGCCAGCAGCCGCCGCCGU